UGAAUAAGCCAUUACAAUAGGCAUAUCUGAACCAUGUCAGGACCGGAAGGUAGCAGCAUUAAGGAUCAAGGUCUAUGUGUAAUGGUCUUUUUAUUAGA
rnacentral:SRP_RNA from 2 species